rnacentral:lncRNA from 1 species
UGAAUUCACAAUAUGGGUAAAUUUUGCAUUUCCCUAUAAAGAAAAUUUUAAGUAUUUGCUCAUAAGAGUUCUUUUUAAAUUUUUUUCAUUCCUCUGUUCUUAAACAGUAACAUAGUUUCGAAUUUUAAGAGUUUAAAUAUUAUUCUUACAAUGUAAUUAUUUAGUUAAAUUGAUGUUUUAUAUGAAAAAAACAAAUCAAAAUCUUACUUGUGGGGCCUUGAACCAUAUUUUAUUGAUGUUUUAUAUGAAAAAAACAAAUCAAAAUCUUACUUGUGGGGCCUUGAACCAUAUUUUAAUCUCAAUAAACAUUAGACAGAAAAAAAAAAUUUGGAAUGGAGACCCACUCCCCACAUGAAUACAAAGAGGUAAGUAGUUGUGUUGCUCCAUCAAUUUUAAAUGUUUCAGGACCACUAUGACAAUAAUAAUAAUGCAAGGGCCAUUUCAACUGCAGUGUUUAAAAUAAUGAAAUAUGAACAUUUUUUAAAUACGUGUUGUGCUUAAAUUACAAUAUAUGGACAUUUUCAAUUUAUCCAAAUGCUUUUCAGAAGAGGAAAAAAAAGACAAAUAUGAAGCAUUUUGUUUUAUGCAGGGAGAGGCAGUUCAAGAUUGGCGUGAAAUAGUGACAUAUUUCUCAUACCCACUUCGCACCAGAGACUACUCAAGGUGGCCUGACAAGCCGGAGGGAUGGAGAGCAGUGACCGAGGAGUACAGUGAAAAGCUGAUGGGACUUGCUUGCAAGCUCCUUGGAGUAUUAUCAGAAGCCAUGGGGUUAGAAACAGAAGCCUUGACUAACGCAUGUGUGGACAUGGAUCAGAAAGUUGUAGUCAACUUCUACCCAAAAUGUCCCCAACCUGACCUCACUCUCGGACUUAAACGCCACACUGAUCCAGGAACCAUCACCCUCUUGCUCCAGGAUCAGGUGGGUGGUCUCCAGGCUACCAGAGAUGAUGGAAAGACUUGGAUCACUGUUCAGCCUGUGGAAGGUGCCUUUGUCGUCAAUCUUGGAGACCAUGGUCAUGUAAGUACCACCAAUUAUGUCCAUUUUACUUUCCUCUCUCUCCCUAAUUGCAUGAUGAAGUCAAAAAAGAAAUGAGCGUUUCAUGGUAUUGCUACGUGUAAUGUUCUGGUCCACAAUUGCCUAAUUUGAUCCAUUGGACUGUGAUGCAGUACCUAAGCAAUGGGAGAUUCAGAAAUGCAGACCACCAAGCAGUGGUGAACUCAAAUAGCAGCAGGUUAUCCAUAGCCACAUUCCAGAACCCAGCACCAGAAG